AAAUGGGACUGAUAUGCGAGUAU
rnacentral:miRNA from 1 species